GUCAUACUACGGCGCAACGCCCUGUAAAGUAAACGAUGACCCGUAGUGAACUUCGGGGUAAAAUGCGUAUCAAAUUAAAAAUUGCUGCUGACCUGGGGCUUCGUACCCGGGUCGGUUUUCUUU
rfam:Kluyvera ascorbata ATCC 33433 GKAS.assembly.001, whole genome shotgun sequence.